AUGACAAAGGGAAUUGCUAUGAUCGAAAUAAGCUCACUGAAUUCAAAUGGGGAUGACGAAAAUCCAGUGGCAGGACCAAGCAUAAAUGAAUUUCAGGGUAAUGAAGCACCUGUCAAACAAGAAAUUAACAGUGCCAAAACUUACUUUGAAAGUGCCAGAGUAGAGUAUGCAAUCCAAACACGUCCAGAAUUGCUGCAAAAAGAUUGUGAAUCACUGUUUCCAGAAGUAGUUAAUAGCAAACUAAUGAUUCUGAAUGUAGCAUAGAAGACUAAGAAGGAUGUGACUGUUUGGACUGAAGAGGUAGACAGUGAAAGAGAAAUGCUCUUAGAAAAGUUCAUCGGUGGCGCUAAGGAAAUUUGCCGUGCUCUUCCAGCUGAAGGAUACUGGGCUGACGUUACUGACCCAUCAUCAGGUUUGGCAUUUUUUGGACCAUAUACAAAAAACACUCUUUUUGAAAUGGAUGAACGCCACCGACAUCUAGGAUUCUCUGUUGAUGAUCUUGGAUGCUGUAAAGUGAUUCGUCAUAGUCCCUGGGGUACCCGUGUAUUCGUAGGUCGUAUCUUCACUAAUGCAACACCAGACAGUCAUAUUAUGAAAAAAUUAAGUGGAAUCUAGCAGUAAUGUCAAUUUAUUUGCUGAACUGUUUGUAUAUAACAUUUGGGUUGAUCUAUAUACACUGUCAAAGACUUCAAUUUUUAAAAGAUACUUAUUUCUAAGUAUUUAGUUCAACAUUUGGGAGUUUACAACAUUCUCAAGUGAUUUGUGAUUCUAAAAUUGCAAAUGCUUAUUAUUUGUAAUAUCUUUGAAUACAUGUUGAACACAUUCACAUCAUAUAAAAUGUGAUAAUUAGAAUGUAACCAGGGUUUAAUCUCUUAUUGUUGUUUCUCCCCUUUACUGGGAAAAAACUCAGUUUUAAUUGUUUUGCUCCAAAAUAAAUUGCACA